GGCUUCAGUUGAUAGCUCAAUUGGUUAGAGCACUGCACCAGUAUCGCAGGGUCAUGGGCUUUAGUCCUGUUCAAGCCU